rnacentral:misc_RNA from 1 species
GAACGCACCUUGCGCUCCUUGGUAUUCCGAGGAGCAUGCCUGUUUGAGUGUCAUUAAUAUAUAUCAACCUUCUCACUUGUUGAGAGGUUUGGAUGUGGGGGUUUGCUGGCCCUUUUUUAAAAAAAGGUUCAGCUCCUCUGAAAUGCAUUAGCAGAACAAACCUUGUUCAUUGGCGUGAUAACUAUCUACGCUGUUGAAUGUGAGGGGCAGUUCAGCUUUCUAACGGUCCUCGGACAAAUUCAUCAUUAAUGUGACCUCAAAUCAGGUAGGACUACCCGCUGAACUUAAG